GAUUUUGUUUUGAAAUAUUAUGGAUAAUUUGAUAAUGAUUAUUUUAUAUCUAAUUUAUAUUUCUGAUUUUUAGGUUAAUUAGUUAAAUUAAUAUACAAAAUCAUACAUUAAUGUAUUUUUCCUUAAACAAAUUAAGAUUAAUGUACUUUCCCAAACCGAUAUUGAUGGUUUAAUUGGGUAGAUUUCGAAAUAAUAUAUAUGGAAACUGGUAUUUAAUAUCCUUAAAUUUUUAGUAAGAUCCAACUGAAAAAUUCCGGGUUAAUUUUUUUUUAAAACCCGACCCAAGAAGCAUUUGUACUUCUCUUUUACUAUAGUAGG
rnacentral:lncRNA from 1 species